ACCAGAUAUAGCUCAAUAUUUUAAUUCCAUAAAACUAUUAUUAAAUUUAAAAUAAAUCAUUUAUUACAUAUUAAAGUAUAGGCGAUAGAAAUUCUACUUGACGCUAUAGAGAAAGUACCGCAAGGGAACACUGAAAGAAAACCUUAAGUAAUAAACAGCAAAGCUUAAUACUUAUACCUUUUGCAUAAUGACUCAGCUAGAAAACAUUAGCGAAAAGAAUUAAAGUUAAGUCACCCGAAACCAGACGAGCUACCUGACAGCAGCUAACAGAGCAAACUCAUCUAUGUGACAAAAUAGUGAAACGACUGUCCGGUAGUGGCGACAAACCUAUCGAGCUUGGUGAUAGCUGGUUAUCCAGAGUAGAAUUUUAGUUCUAACUUUAAUCUACCAAACAGAUAAGCAAGCUAAAAAUGUAGAUUUAAGUGAUAAUCUAAAAAGGUACAGCUUUUUAGACAAGGGAUACAACCCCUAUUAGAGAAUAAAUUAUGACUAACCACAGUAGUUGGCCUAAAAGCAGUCAUCAACUAAGAAAGCGUUAAAGCUCAACAGUACAAAAAUUUAAUUUCAUAAUAAAAAUAUAAAUCCUAAUACAAAACUGGAUCACUCUAUUUAUAAAUAGAAGUGACACUGCUGAUAUGAGUAACAAGAAACAUUUCUCCCCGCACACGUGUAUAUCAGAACGGAUAAGCCACUGAUAAUUACCAAAGCAAACGUUCAUAAUUACUAAACUUUUAAUAUUAAUUGUUAGCCCAACACAGGAGUGCAACUAAGGAAAGAUUCAAAGAAGUAAUAGGAACUCGGCAAACAUAAACCCCGCCUGUUUACCAAAAACAUCACCUCUAGCAUAAAAAGUAUUAGAGGCACUGCCUGCCCGGUGACUUCAGUUUAACGGCCGCGGUAUCCUGACCGUGCAAAGGUAGCAUAAUCACUUGUUCCCUAAAUAGGGACUUGUAUGAAUGGCCCCAUGAAGGUUUUGCUGUCUCUUAUUUCAAUCAGUGAAAUUGACAUUCCCGUGAAGAGGCGGGAAUAAAAAAAUAAGACGAGAAGACCCUAUGGAGCUUUAAUUCACUAACUCAUAUAAUUCCCUUAACUCCUCACGAGGGAACAAGUCCACUAUAAGUGAGUUAGCAAUUUGGAUUGGGGUGACCUCGGAAUAAAACCUAACCUCCGAGAAACAUUUUUUAAGACUCACAAGUCAAAAUCAUAUUAACAUACAAUGAUCCGCCAAUGACGAUCAACGAAACAAGUUACCCUAGGGAUAACAGCGCAAUCCUAUUCAAGAGUCUAUAUCGACUAUUAGGGUUUACGACCUUGAUCUGAGUUCAGACCGGAGUAAUGGUGCAGCAGCUAUUAAAGGUUCGUUUGUUCAACGAUUAAAGUCCUACGUGAUCUGAGUUCAGACCGGAGAAAUCCAGGUCGGUUUCUAUCUAUUCAUAAGUCCCUCCCAGUACGAAAGAAUAAGAGAGACAGGGCCCACUUUAAAUAAGCGCCCUAACAAAAUAGAUGAACUAAUCUUAAUCCUAUUAUUGCCCACCAGCUAUUCUAGAAUAAGAAAAAUUAAAC
rnacentral:rRNA from 1 species